CCUUUGACGUUAGCGGCGACGGGUGAGUAACACGUGGGUAACCUACCUAUAAGACUGGGAUAACUUCGGGAAACCGGAGCUAAUACCGGAUAAUAUUUCGAACCGCAUGGUUCGAUAGUGAAAGAUGGUUUUGCUAUCACUUAUAGAUGGACCCGCGCCGUAUUAGCUAGUUGGUAAGGUAACGGCUUACCAAGGCGACGAUACGUAGCCGACCUGAGAGGGUGAUCGGCCACACUGGAACUGAGACACGGUCCAGACUCCUACGGGAGGCAGCAGCC
rnacentral:rRNA from 1 species